rnacentral:rRNA from 1 species
UACAGAGGUCUCAAGCGUUGUUCGGAUUCAUUGGGCGUAAAGGGUGCGUAGGCGGCGCGGUAAGUCGGGUGUGAAAUUCGAUGGCUUAACUCCGAAACUGCAUUCGAUACUGCCGUGCUUGAGGACUGGAGAGGAGACUGGAAUUUAUGGUGUAGCAGUGAAAUGCGUAGAUAUCGUAAGGAAGACCAGUGGCGAAGGCGAGUCUCUGGACAGUUACUGACGCUGAGGCACG